rnacentral:rRNA from 1 species
AUUGAACGCUGGCGGCAUGCUUUACACAUGCAAGUCGAGCGGUAACAGGGUGCUUGCACCGCUGACGAGUGGCGAACGGGUGAGUAAUGCGUCGGAACGUGCCGAGUAGUGGGGGAUAACGCAUCGAAAGGUGUGCUAAUACCGCAUACGUACUGAGGUAGAAAGUGGGGGACCUUCGGGCCUCACGCUAUUCGAGCGGCCGACGUCUGAUUAGCUAGUUGGUGAGGUAAAGGCUCACCAAGGCGACGAUCAGUAGCGGGUCUGAGAGGAUGCGCCGCCACACUGGGACUAAGACGCGGCCCAGACUCCUACGGGAGGCAGCAGUGGGGAAUUUUGGACAAGGGGCGCAAGCCUGAUCCAGCCAGGCCGCGUGUCUGAAGAAGGCCUUCGGGUUGUAAGGGACUUUUGUCCGGGAGCAAAUACCCAGUGCUAAUAACGCUGGGGGCUGAGAGUACCGGAAGAAUAAGCACCGGCUAACUACGUGCCAGCAGCCGCCGUAA